GAAUAACAUGAAUCACCUCAAUCCCACCUUUUGCGUGAAUCAAAGUUUCAGUGACACAAAGAGUUGAGCUGUUGAGACCAGAUGUUUUCUUUAGAAAUUUUUGGAAACUGAAAUGGCCAAGAGGUCACAGAGUAUAGCUUUUGUUAUUUUUGUGGGAAUAACAGUAAACUCUUAGAUGCGUUGGUCUUUGAAAUAUACUGUUUUCGAUAGUAAUUGGUUUUGGGGUUCACACCUAACUUGAACUAUGGUUGCCCAUUUCUUGCAUUGUUACUGUACUUUUUACAUCUGUUUCAUCUGCCUAUAAUAAACCCACUCCUCUGUCCCAACUCCUUUCUCAACCAAAAAUUUUUCAAAAAAUCUCCUAGUCAUCCUUAAAAACUCCUAUCACCAACUAAUAUUUGAAGUUCUGGACUGUAAUAUUAGUUGUAUUGUA
rnacentral:lncRNA from 1 species